rnacentral:rRNA from 1 species
UACAGAGGGUGCAAGCGUUGUUCGGAAUUACUGGGCGUAAAGCGUUUGUAGGCGGUGCUGAGAGUCCUAGGUGAAAUCCCCGAGCUCAACUCGGGAACUGCCUGGGAGACCUCAGUACUAGAGUACUGAAGGGGUUACUGGAAUUCCAUGUGUAGCGGUGAAAUGCGUAGAUAUAUGGAGGAACACCUGUGGCGAAGGCGGGUAACUGGUCAGAGACUGACGCUGAGAAACGAAAGCGUGGGGAGCAAACAGG